GGGCCUGUAGCUCAACGGUUAGAGCAGGGGACUCAUAAUCCCUUGGUUGGGGGUUCAAAUCCCUCCGGGCCCACCA
rnacentral:tRNA from 13 species